rnacentral:rRNA from 1 species
UACGUAGGGGGCAAGCGUUGUCCGGAAUCACUGGGCGUAAAGCGCGCGCAGGCGGUCAUUUACGUCUGGGGUGAAAGCCCGGAGCUCAACUCCGGGAUUGCCUUGGAUACGGGAUGACUUGAGGAUCGGAGAGGCAAGGGGAAUUCCACGUGUAGCGGUGAAGUGCGUAGAGAUGUGGAGGAACACCUGUGGCGAAGGCGCCUUGCUGGCCGAUUUCUGACGCUGAGGCGCGAAAGCGUGGGGAGCAAACAGG